UUGCUGGUCUUUGUUCUUGUAAAAAUUAUGUCAUUUGAAUCGUUCUCACGUUUAUGGCCUUCGAUGUGUUUUUCUAUGCUUUUUAAGACACAUUAAUCAUAUCGUAUUAUGUUCAAAUCAAGAUCUUCGAUCUCUUCUAUUUGAUGGAUGGUCGUGUAACGACUAAAUGCAAGGUGUGAUCUUUUGUCCCACCUAAACUUUUUCUAACAAUGCUUGUAAUAGCCGGAGUGGGACUUGUGCCUAUUGUCACUGUGAUAAUCUAUGGUUUUCUUGAAUGAUCAUUAGUUUCUAAUGUAUUAGACUCCAACUUUCAGUAUCUAAUUUUAACAUCGCGCGUCUUCCAUAUAAAUGGGA